UACGGAGGGAGCUAGCGUUGUUCGGAUAUACUGGGCGUAAAGCGCACGUAGCGGCGCCGUAAGUCAGGGGUGAAAUCCCGGGGCUCAACCCCGGAACUGCCUUUGAUACUGGGUAUCUCGAGUCCGGAAGAGGUGAGUGGAAUUCCGAGUGUAGAGGUGAAAUUCGUAGAUAUUGGGAAGAACACCGGUGGCGAAGGCGGCCCCCUGGUUGGAUACUGACGCUGAGACGCGAAAGCUAGGGGAGCGAACGGG
rnacentral:rRNA from 1 species